AUUUUCUGAGUAUGAUGGUAUUCUCCAUUUGAUUUAACAAAAAAAUUCUUCCUCUGCUUUAAAAGACUGAAAGCCUCCCUGUAAGGUGCUGAUUGCCUUCCAGAUCUGAGGACCCCGUCUCUGCCUCAUUCCUCCUGUUUCCAUCAGAAGACACAGGUCUGGGACUCAGCGCAGCUGACCUGUCUGUCCCUCUCUGCACAGUUUACUCCUGGGCUCUGCAGAGAGAAGUCAGUGCCUCAAUUUUCCAUUGAAAUAUGCACCCUUGGCAUCCUGGCAGAGGAGGAAGGUGAGUCCUGGAGGAGGGAACAGACUCCCGGGGACACACGGCAAGGAUUCCAGCCUGGGCCCAUUUUGGUAGCGCUCCCUCACGGUGACAGAUCCAGCCAGUGCGCCAGCAGACGCCCUUCACGGAAACCUCACGUAAAGGCUGAGUUAGUGCUGUCUCAGACGACUGCAGCGGCGUGGUGGGAAACGUCAGUAAAGAACGGUUUCCUUGAAAAGUCUGCACAUUUAUAGUGUGUUGUUUUGAUUAGGAAUUCUGGGAAGGCAGAGACGUCCUUCUGCGUGGACAGCUGCCAUCCCUCCCGCUCUGCAACGCUGGCUCCUCCUGAAGAUGGAGCAGGAUUGCGUCACUCAUGGGAACUUUCUAACCUUCUCUUCAGCUGACCUCCUCUGUGCUUUGGGAAGCCAGACUGACUCAGAGAGUUCCGUGUCCCCACCCCUUCCUUGGUGCUGGAAAGGAGGUGGAAACUCCUCAACUUCCUGUCAUUAGGAUUCAUCUCGGAAAUCUGCCACACAGGGCUACCCCGGGACCCUAUCCAGGCAGGGGGGUGCGUCAGAAGCACUUCACCCCUGCAGGUGCAGGCACACUUACUCUCUUAUUGGAGACACUGCCUUGCCUUGUCACCCAGGCUGGAGUGCAGUGGCACUAUCAGGGCUCAUUGCAGCCUCCA
rnacentral:lncRNA from 10 species